rnacentral:rRNA from 1 species
UACAGAGGUCCCAAGCGUUGUUCGGAUUCACUGGGCGUAAGGGUGCGUAGGCGGUCGGGUAAGUCUGAUGUGAAAUCUCACAGCUUAACUGUGAAACUGCAUUGGAUACUAUUCGGCUUGAGAGUUGGAGGGGGACUGGAAUUCUUGGUGUAGCAGUGAAAUGCGUAGAUAUCAAGAAGGAACACCAGUGGCGAAGGCGAGUCCCUGGACAACUUCUGACGCUGAGGCAGCGAAGCUAGGGGAGCAAACAGG